rnacentral:rRNA from 1 species
UACGUAGGGGGCAAGCGUUGUCCGGAUUUACUGGGCGUAAAGAGCGUGUAGGCGGCCAAACAGGUCCGUUGUGAAAACUGGAGGCUUAACCUCCAGACGUCGACGGAAACCGCGUGGCUAGAGUCCGGAAGAGGAGAGUGGAAUUCCUGGUGUAGCGGUGAAAUGCGCAGAUAUCAGGAAGAACACCAAUGGCGAAGGCAGCUCUCUGGGACGGUACUGACGCUGAGACGCGAAAGCGUGGGGAGCGAACAGG